UGAGGAAUAUUGGUCAAUGGACGAGAGUCUGAACCAGCCAAGUCGCGUGAGGGAAGACUGCCCUAUGGGUUGUAAACCUCUUUUAUAAGGGAAGAAUAAGUUCUACGUGUAGAAUGAUGCCUGUACCUUAUGAAUAAGCAUCGGCUAACUCCGUGCCAGCAGCCGCGGUAAUACGGAGGAUGCGAGCGUUAUCCGGAUUUAUUGGGUUUAAAGGGUGCGUAGGCGGUUUAUUAAGUUAGUGGUUAAAUAUUUGAGCUAAACUCAAUAGUGCCAUUAAUACUGGUAAACUGGAGUACAGACGAGGUAGGCGGAAUAAGUUAAGUAGCGGUGAAAUGCAUAGAUAUAACUUAGAACUCCGAUAGCGAAGGCAGCUUACCAGACUGUAACUGACGCUGAUGCA
rnacentral:rRNA from 1 species